AUCCCAGAUAAGCUAAGUUAUAGAGUGCUUAUUCUGAUUCAUGGGAGGCCCAAAUUAAACCGAAAAUGGAAGUUUCGCUGAGAAACCCAUUCUUGUUUUCAAUUAAGGGUGUUUCCUAGUAACUCCUCCAUAUAUGU